UUUCUUUUAAACAAAACACGACACUGCGAUUCUAAUCUUUCUCUUCCAGUACGUGGUUAACAUAACGAACCUCCGAGAUCCGAUCCCAAUCGUUUCAUCACCAUGUCUAGCUCUGCAAUCAUUGCGGCGCAUUCUAGCUCUUGGGCUGCAGCACUCGUGUAACAAAAGUUUAUACUUUUAGCUUUAUUUUUUUAUUUUUCGUUUAUACUUUAGCUUUAUUUUU
rnacentral:lncRNA from 1 species